GACGAACGCUGGCGGCGUGCUUAACACAUGCAAGUCGAACGGAAAGGCCCUGCUUUUGUGGGGUGCUCGAGUGGCGAACGGGUGAGUAACACGUGAGUAACCUGCCCUUGACUUUGGGAUAACUUCAGGAAACUGGGGCUAAUACCGGAUAGGAGCUCCUGCUGCAUGGUGGGGGUUGGAAAGUUUCGGCGGUUGGGGAUGGACUCGCGGCUUAUCAGCUUGUUGGUGGGGUAGUGGCUUACCAAGGCUUUGACGGGUAGCCGGCCUGGGAGGGUGACCGGGCACAAUGGGACUGAGGUACGGCCCAGAAUCCUACGGGAGGCAGCAGGGGGGAAUAUUGCACAAUGGGCGGAAGCCUGAUGCAACAACGCCGGGUGCGGGAUGACGGCCUUCGGGGUGUAAACCGCUUUCGCCUGUGACGAAGCGGGAGUGACGGUAAUGGGUAAAGAAGCCCCGGCUAACUACGUG
rnacentral:rRNA from 1 species